CACCGCCGCCGCCUCGUCCCUCCCGCCCCAAACCAAAUCGUUGUCCUCUCCGCCCAACUCUCUCCACCUCCGGAGCCUUCGCCACGACAUGCUCCACUUCUCAUACCGUCUUUCCCGAUCUGCUUACGGAUCCUGGUUUAUGGCAAGGAACAUCGGAUUAAAAGGCGCGAAGGAAUGGGGGAAGCCGAAUUGGUGCCGGCGCCUCCCUUAUGCCAAUGAUCUUCUCCGCACCUCAAGUACUUCCCUAGGUGAACAUUUUGCAACCACCAAAGGGACAGAUAGCGCAGAAGUCCAUGUUAGCUAUCCUGCUAACCGUGAUGAUGGUGGUUAUGUAAGCUCGGCCUACGUCAUUAAGAACACCAGCCAUCGCCACGGUUCUAUAUACGCAAGAGACUCUGGUCUUCGGGGACAAUGCCGUAUUACUGAGCGUGGUGAGAAUGUUUUUUUGGUGAAGCACAACUGGAGCCAAUGAUGAUAACAGAACCCACAGAUUGCUGGCCUGAUAGGGCAAGUGCGGGAUUGUCAAGAUCAAUUGCUUAAUUAUGUUAUUAAUCAUAGCAGGGAUGAUCCCAUCAUUAUGCGACAGGUGCAUAUCUUUACUUGCACAAAUUGUUUGAAAUAAUUCAUUUAUUUUAAUUUGUAAGUUCAAUCCCAUCACAUGCAUUGCACAAAAUGGAUCGAAAUAUAAACAUUGUUUGGGUAUAUACUUCAAGUACUUCAUCUCUUUUUAAUCAUAAAAGUUGGGAUCGAAGGUGGAAUAUUGUACAUGCUUAAUAUCUUUUAUCUCAUGUGGAUUGGUAUAUGUAAUGAAAAUACUAUUAAUUAUGUUCUUAGUUUUGUUGUGAUGUUCUUAGUUCUUAAUAAAUAACACAUGCUUAGUUUAUUUUUAUUGUCGUUCUUUAAAUAAGUAUUUCAUAAUGCAUUGAUUUUUACCUAUUUAAUAAUAUUUUUGUGUUAUGGUUGCAUAUCUUCUUCCAUGUGCUUAACUCUAUUAAAAAGUGUCAUACCGAAAUUGUGAAAAUAACUAUUAUUUGUCCACUAUGUUACCAAUUUGAGAAUCAUGUUGUGGAAUUACAAUUAGUUAGACGAAACUUACUACUGGAACUAUAGUGUGUAAUUUAGUGAUCUAUUAACCAGUAAUAGACUAAUAUGUAUUUAAUUAAUAUCAAGUCGGAUAAUUUUGGACCCUUAAUUCUUGUAAGACAAUUACUCCUAUAAACAUUUGAGGUGUUGGUGAUGCUGGCUCUGUUUUAUGGAUUUUAUUUUCGUGGAUUCUUGUAUGCAAAUAUGUGUGUGGUUGGAGGAUGUUAUACCAAGAUGAGUUUGUCCUUUUGCAUAUAUGUAGCAUGUUUAUGGUUAAUUAUGUUUGGUUUAGCAAUGUUAAGUGUCAUGUGCAACCGACUUAUGUUUAUGGUGAAAAAACUCACAUUAUUUUAGUUUUUUGUGAAUAGAAAUAAUUUGUGGGAUCAAAGUUUCUCGGGUGCGCAAGGUGCAAAUUUUCAUAUUGUUUGGACAUUCCAGGUGCUCAUGACAAACAAAAAAUUAUAAAUAUGUACGUCGGUGAACAGUAAAUUAAAAAAAUAGCAAAAAAAUAUGAAACACAAAAAAUUUAAGGUUUUUCCUUUGUCACGAGCUCCUGGAAUGUCUAAAUAGCACAAAAAAUUUCACGCACCUUGCGCAUCCGAGGAACUUUGAUCCAACAAAUUUUCAGAUUUUUUAGACUUUUUUGCUUUUUUAAAAAAAUUACUGUUUAUACGGACGAAAACCGCCCGAAGCGGCGUGAGGGACGAAAAUUAUCCGGUUUUGAUAGUUGAGGGACGGAAACUUGAGUUGAGGGACGAUUUCUAAACUCUCGAAAAAGUUCGACGACGAAAAAUAUACUUAUCCCGCAAAAUAUGGAUGCAGCAAUACUUUCACCAGCCUUGUUCCAGACUAUCUUCUGAACAUGAUUGGUACAAAUAGAACACCAGCCAGGCAAAUAAUAUGGCUGUUACUCUGUUCUAUGUACGAACUACUACUCUAAUCGACAUUGGUAUCCUCUGAACAGCGUAUAAUUCUUUUUGUAUGUAAUAUUGAAACACCUGCACGGCUAGAAUAUGUAAACGACAGCUAUUUAAUGUGUCAGGAAUUAUUAUAUGCAAAAGCAAAUCUUAAGUUCGUAGCAGAAAUGGUGAGCUGCAAAUCACAUCUCUAGUUCUCAAUUAUUUAUAAUUCUGGGAUGCUGCUCUGGAUUGACACCAAAGGGGAUAAACUAGCUCUGAAAUUUUCAUUAUCACUUUCUUAAUCAAAUUCCAUAGUUUUUAAUCGUGGCCUUAUUCCUUCCAUCAAUGGAAGCUGGGUUUGUCAAACAUCAUUGAGUUAUUCCACACUGGACUGAGCAGCAUGCGCAAAAUUUGGUACUUGGUUGAUUGGUUCAGUGCAAAUUAUCUAUCUCCAUCAUUCCCGCUCUCAGAAGUAAAGGCAAAAAAAGGAGAGAGAUUCCUAAAGAAAUAUGCAAGAGUGGAGUAGCAGAACAAACCAAAAGAGACAGUAGUGCACUCCUUAUAUGAAGGUGGAAUGGUUCAUACUGAAAUAUGAGUAAGACCCGUCGGAAAAUUAUAAGCAACAUAUAACACCAUCGACCAUUUCUUUUGAAGGCGCCGGCAAGGUAAAUAUGCAACCCUUGCCUAUACACAGUACAUGCUAAACAAAAAAAGGUGUAUGUAAAGUAAAAUUGUGUCAAAUUAAGUUUAUGGUA